rnacentral:rRNA from 1 species
CCUACGGGUGGCAGCAGUGGGGAAUAUUGCUCAAUGGGGGAAACCCUGAUGCAGCGACGCCGCGUGAGUGAAGAAGUAUUUCGGUAUGUAAAGCCCUUUUUGCAGGGAAGAAAAUGACGGUACCUGACCAAUAAGCCCCGGCUAACUACGUGCCAGCAGCCGCGGUAAUCCGUAGGGGGCAAGCGUUACCCGGAAUGACUGGGUGUAAAGGGAGCGUAGGCGGGAGCGCAAGUCAGAAGGGAAAUCCUUGGGCUUAACCCUUGAACUGCAUUUGAAACUGUGAAUCUGGAGUAGGGGAGAGGUAGGCGGAAUUCCUGGUGUAGGGGUGAAAUGCGUAGAGAUCAAGAGGAACACCAAUUGCGAAGGCGGCCUACUGGAGUCUAACUGACGCUGAGGCGCGAAAGCGUGGGGAGCAAACAGGAUUAGAUACCCCUGUAGUC